CCCAUGAAAUCAAUGGGAGUUAUGGAGGAGUUGACGGGCCAAAUCUCCAUUGACUCAAUGGGCUUGUACGGUUGUAAAAGUUGGACAGUAAAAUAAGCGUACAGGGGGAAAAUGAUUCUUUUCAAAUGUGGUGCUGGAGGAGAGCUUUGCAGAUAUUGUGGACUGCCAAAAAGACGAACAAGUGGGUCCUAGAUCAAAUCAAACACAGCACUUCACCUUUAAAGGGGCACAACGCUUCUGACAUCUUUUUUUUUAAUAACUUUUCGCCUAAUAGUCUAAGCACAGAUUAUCAAUGCUCCUUGAGCUAAAUCUAGACUUAUUGCCUCUCAGUUUUCGGUUGAUCUAGGAAAAUAUUCUAGCACUACCAGAUCAUCAAAAUAAGCAUUGUUGGCCUCAGCAGAUCUGAUUUUGCUGCACUGAAGUAGAACUAUUUCAAACAUUUCUAUGGAUUUCAGUAUCUUCUCAAAUUGCCGAAUCUCAAGUUUCUUUUGCCCACAUUUUUUCGUACAUCUGAAGGAUACGAAACCUCUUUGGCUUUGUAUCUGGCCAUGUUAAGGAUGAAGGCCUGGAUCUAUGACCCUUCUAAAAUCACUUUUCUGUCCUUCAAAGGUGGUGGAAUGAAAAGCCAAAAUCAUGGAGGUUCAUCAUUUCUGGCCAAAGGGCUAGAAAUAAGACAAACUGGUGUGGGAGAGGACCAAAAACGCUUGAAGGAGACAAGCCUGUCGUUGCAGGUUGUCAAGCGGAGUCUCUCUCAAGCGGGCCAGGAGACCAUGGUCUGGCAUGUUUUUCGGGAGGAUGGUUCCGGGAACAUGGAUUCUUUGGGUAAGGAGCCGUUUCCUCAAGUCUCAUGAGCCUCUACCCAGAUUGUUGGGGUAAGGAGCCGUUUCCUCAAGUCUCAUGAGUCUCCACCCACCCAAUGUGUCAUUUGCAGGGCUGGAGAAGAGCCAACCAGCAGAAAGAGGAGGGAUGUUUUCAUGUACAGUGGUUCCUUGCUUUACGAUUGCCCUGCAUUACGAUGAAACUGCAUUACGACGGUGUUUUGCGAUUGCAUUUAUGAUCGGAAAACCGUGGUCUGAAUGGGGUUUUUCGCUUUGCGUUCAUCGGGUCC
rnacentral:lncRNA from 1 species